UGGGGAAUAUUGGACAAUGGGCGCAAGCCCGAUCCAGCCAUGCCGCGUGAGUGACGAAGGCCUUAGGGUUGUAAAGCUCUUUCGGCGGGGAAGAUAAUGACGGUACCCGCAGAAGAAGCCCCGGCUAACUCUGUGCCAGCAGCCGCGGUAAUACAGAGGGGGCAAGCGUUGUUCGGAAUCACUGGGCGUAAAGCGCACGUAGGUGGAUAGUUAAGUUCGGGGUGAAAUCCCAGGGCUCAACCCUGGAACUGCCUCGGAUACUGGCUAUUUCGAGUCCGGAAGAGGUGAGUGGAAUUCCUAGUGUAGAGGUGAAAUUCGUAGAUAUUAGGAAGAACACCGGUGGCGAAGGCGGCUCACUGGUCCGGUACUGACACUGAGGUGCGAAAGCGUGGGGAGCAAACAGGAUUAGAUACCCGAGUAGUCCCUGAGCGGGCUGGCAAGGCGCAU
rnacentral:rRNA from 1 species